CUAUUGUAAAAAGAAAAAAAAUCAUGUUCUUGAGAAUUUUGUACAUAUAUGCCAUGAGAUUUGACCAUAUUCUCCCAUUUGCUCCUCCCAUUAUCCUCAUGUUCCUCCAACAACAUAUCCCUCUACCAACUUCAACUUUUUUUGAUAAUUCAGUAUAUGCAAUUAGUUAUGUUCAUGUGUACAUAAUUGUGGGACCUUCUACUGGAACAUGGAAAACCUAUCAGGUGAAAUGCCCUAAAAAAGGAAUGAUUCUUGCCCAGCAGCAAUCAUUUGCCAGUAGCUCCCAGAAAGGUAUGGAGUCUGGAGAAUACCUCCCGCAUCUAUGCCAGAGUUUUGAUUGGCAAAUUCUUAUGCAGAAAACCCUAACUUCUGUGAAUUUAUGAUUGUGAUAUCCAUGUCAUGAGAAAGUGUCCAGCUUCCUUUGCUUUGGAUUUUCUUCCUUUUCAUGGCAAGGAUACGAUUUAAUUCUCUAUGGCUCCUUUAUUUUACCCCAUCUGCAGACACUAAACACAGACACUAUUCCUGAUACAAAGAAGAACUUGCUGACAGGAGCCUGGUAUAGCUGUCCCCUGAAAAUCUCUGCCAGAGCCUGACCAAUACAGAUGCAGAUGUAUGCAGCCUAACAUUGGACUGAGCAUGGGGACCCCAAGAAGAAAUUAGGGCAAGGGAUGAAUUAGCUGAAGGGAUUUGCAACUCCAAAGGAAGAACAACAAUAUCAAACAACCAAAGCUCCCAGGGACUAAACCACCAACCAUAUAGUACACAUGGUGGUGGUGGGAAACCCAUGGCUUCGGAUGGAUAUGUAGCAGAGGAUUGCCUUAUCUGGCAUCAAUGGAAGGGGAGUUCUUUGGUCCUGUAGAGACUGAAUGACCCAGUAUAGGGGAAUGCAAGGGCACUGAGGCAGGAGUGGGUGGACAGG
rnacentral:lncRNA from 1 species